AAGACUUUAUGUUAAAAAACAUUUAACCUUCAAAGUUAAAAUUAUAAGUGCAAAUCUUGUAAGUCUUA
rnacentral:tRNA from 1 species